UUCACGCCAACACCGGUAUUUUCUUGGCGCGCCUCAAGCCCUCUCUGCGUGACUUGUUAACCCGCCGAAGCCACCCGGGACCCCAAAAGCACGAGCCUGGCGCCUCCUAUUCCACGCGGAAGUGCCCGAGUGACCCUGUGAAGGACCUCCCUCCCCUCACACACGCACAUACACAAGCCCAUGUGGGAGCCCGAGUGACGUGCUCGGUGGUCGUGCACCAUCAUUUCCCUUCCACCUUCCUCCCCGCCGCUUCCUCUCCCUCCACCGCGCAGCUCCACCGCCCCGCCACUGCCGCAUCCCCUUCCAAGUUCAGACUGUGGGUGGAACCUGUUGCUUUAGCUCGAGUUUCCUUUCCCCUCUGGGCUGCACACUGAGGAUGACCUCAGCGAGAUAACUGAGUCAAAGAAACCUAUGCUGGCGUUUUCGAAAACACACGGGCUUCCUGAGUCUGUCAGCUCAUCUUUGGAAGAAGGUUCUGUGAAAAGAAAAAUACCAACACUUGGAAAGACACGGAUGCGUCACAGAGCGCCUACUAAGGAUUUCCUGUGAACCAACCAUUCUGACCUUAGAGACGGGGUUUCACCAUGUUGACCAGGAUGGUCUC